AUGCAGUCGAACGGUGUAGCAAUACAUAGUAGGCGCACGGGUGCGUAACACGUAUGCAACCUACCUUAUACUUAGGGAUAGCCUUUGGAAACGGAGAUUAAUACUUAAAGGUAUAUUUAGCUCGGCAUCGGUUAGAUAUUAAAGAAUUUAUUGGUAUAAGAAGGGCAUCGCGUCCAAUUAGUUAGUUGGUGAGGUAAUGGCUCACCAAGAACGAAUGAUUGGUAGGAGAACUGAGAGGUUAAUCCCCCACACUGGCACUGAGAUACGGGCCAGAACUCCUACGGGAGGCAGCAGUAGGGAAUAUUUGGGCAAUGGAGGGAACUCUGACCCAGCCAUGCCGCGUGCAGGAUGAAGGCGUUAUGCGUUGUAAACUGCUUUUAUAUAGGAAGAAACAGACCUUGCGAGGUAAAUUGACGGUACUAUAUGAAUAAGCACCGGCUAACUCCGUGCCAGCAGCCGCGGUAAUACGGAGGGUGCAAGCGUUGUCCGGAUUUAUUGGGUUUAAAGGGUGCGUAGGCGGUUUAUUAAGUCAGUGGUGAAAGACGGUCGCUCAACGAUUGCAGUGCCAUUGAUACUGGUAGACUUGAGUGUGAUUGAGGUAGCUGGAAUGGAUAGUGUAGCGGUGAAAUGCAUAGAUAUUAUCCAGAACACCAAUUGCGAAGGCAGGUUACUAAGUCACAACUGACGCUGAUGCACGAAAGUGUGGGUAUCAAACAGGAUU
rnacentral:rRNA from 1 species